rnacentral:rRNA from 1 species
AAUAGAUACCCGGGUAGUCCAUGCCGUAAACGAUGUCUACUAGCCGUUGGGGCCUUUGAGGCUUUAGUGGCGCAGCUAACGCGAUAAGUAGACCGCCUGGGGAGUACGGUCGCAAGACUAAAACUCGAAUGAAUUGACGGGGGCCCGCACAAGCGGUGGAGCAUGUGGUUUAAUUCGAUGCAACGCGAAGAACCUUACCUGGUCUUGACAUACAGAGAACUUUCCAGAGAUGGAUUGGUGCCUUCGGGAACUCUGAUACAGGUGCUGCAUGGCUGUCGUCAGCUCGUGUCGUGAGAUGUUGGGUUAAGUCCCGCAACGAGCGCAACCCUUUUCCUUACUUGCCAUCGGGUCAUGCCGGGAACUUUAAGGAUACUGCCAGUGACAAACUGGAGGAAGGCGGGGGCGACGUCAAGUCAUCAUGGCCCUUACGACCAGGGCUACACACGUGCUACAAUGGUCGGUACAAAGGGUUGCUACCUAGCGAUAGGAUGCUAAUCUCAAAAAGCCGAUCGUAGUCCGGAUUGGAGU